CCUACGGGAGACAGCAGUAGGGAAUCUUCCACAAUGGGCGCAAGCCUGAUGGAGCAACACCGCGUGAGUGAAGAAGGGUUUCGGCUCGUAAAGCUCUGUUGUUGGAGAAGAACGUGCGUGAGAGUAACUGUUCACGCACUGACGGUAUCCAACCAGAAAGUGAGGGCUAACUACGUGCCAGCAGCCGCGGGAAUACGGAGGUGGCAAGCGUUAUCCGGAUUUAUUGGGCGGAAAGCGGGCGCAGGCGGUUGCUUAGGUCUGAUGUGAAAGCCUUGGGGUUAACCGAAGAAGUGCAUCGGAAACCGGGGGUCUUGAGUGCAGAAGAGGACAGUGGAACUCCAUGUGUAGCGGUGGAAUGCGUAGAUAUAUGGAAGAACACCAGUGGCGAAGGCGGCUGUCUGGUCUGCAACUGACGCUGAGGCUCGAAAGCAUGGGUAGCGAACAGGAUUAGAUACCCUGGUAGUC
rnacentral:rRNA from 1 species